rnacentral:lncRNA from 1 species
AUAAAUGAAAGAAAGAAAAAAAGAAAAGAAAAGAAAGAGAAAAUAAAAGAAAAAGCACUGUAUCGCUACUGGGCUAGGAGCUUCUCUCUUUCUAUCUGUUUCUCUCUGUCUCUCUGUGUUUGUCUCUGUCUUUCUCUCUCUGUCUCUUUCUCUGUCUGUCUCUUUCUUUCCCUCUGUCUCUGUCUCUCUCUCUCUCUGCCUGUCUGUGUCUGUCUUCUGUCUUACUUUCUCUGCCCGUCUGUCUGUCUCUCUCUCUCCUUCCCUGUCUGUUUCUCUCUGUCUCUCUGUCUGUCUCUGUUUUUCUCUGUCUAUCUCUUUCUCUGUCUGUCUGCCUCUCUCUUUCUUUUUCUGUGUCUCUCUGUCUGUCUCUAUCUCUCUCUGUCUCUCGCUCUCUCUGCCUAUCUUGUCUUACUGUCUUUCUCUGCCUAUCUGUCUCUCUCUGUCUCUCCCUCCCUUUGUUUCUCUCUCUCUCUCACUCUCUCUCUGUCUGUUUCUCUGUCUCUCUCUUUCUCUGUUUCUCAGUGUCUCUCUCUGUCCAUCUCUGUCUUUCUCUGUCUCUUUCUCUCUGUCUCUGUCUCUCUGUCUCUCUGCCUGUCUCUCUCACUGUGUCUGUCUUCUGUCUUACUCUCCUUCUCUGCCUGUCCGUCUGUCUGUCUCUCUCUCUCUCCCUCCCUUUCUGUUUCCUGUUUCUCUCUCUGUCUCUCUCUGUCUGUCUCUUUCUCUGUCUGUCUGUCUCUCUCUCACUCUGCCUGUCUCACUGUGUCUGACUUCUGUCUCUCUCUUUCUCUCUCUCUGCCUGUCUCACUGUGUCUGUCUUCUGUCUUACUCUCUUUCUCUGCCCAUCUGUCUGUCUCUCUCUGUCUGUUUCUCUCUGUCUCUCUCUGUCCAUCUCUGUUUUUCUCUGUCUGUGUCUUUCUCUGUCUGUCUGCCUCUUUCUUUUUCUGUGUCUCUGUCUGCCUGUCUCUCUCUCUGUGCCUAUCUUCUGUCUUACUCUCUUUCUCUGCCUGUCUGUCUCUCUCUCUGUCUCUUCCUCCCUUUCUGUUUGUCUCUCUUUCUCUCACUCCCUCUGUCUGUUUCUCUCUGUCUCUCUUUCUGUUUCUCACUGUCUCUCUCUGUCCAUCUCUUUCUCUCUGUCUCUGUCUCUCUCUGCCUGUCUCUCUCACUGUGUCUGUCUUCUGUCUUACUCUCCUUCUCUGCCUGUCCGUCUGUCUGUCUCUCUCUCUCUCCCUGCCUUUCUGUUUCUCUCUCUCUCUGUCUCUCUCUCUUUCUGUCUGCUUCUGUCUCUCUCUGCCCAUCUCUGUCUUUCUCUGUCUGUCUCUCUCUUUCUUUCUCUCUGUCUCUGUCUCUCUCUCUCUCUCUGCCUGUCUCUCUCACUGUGUCUGUCUUCUGUCUUACUCUCCUUCUCUGCUUGUCCAUCUGUCUGUCUGUCUCUCUCCCUCCCUUUCUGUUUCUCUCUCUCUCUCUUUCUGUCUGUUUCUCUCUUUCUCUCUCUGUCUGUCUCUGUCUUUGUCUGUCUCUUUCUUUCUCUCUGUCUCUGUCUCUCUCUCUGCCUGUCUCACUGUGUCUGUCUUCUGUCUUAUUCUCCUUCUCUGCCUGUCUGUCUCUUUCUUUCUCUCUGUCUCUGUCUCUCUCUCUCUCUGCCUGUCUCACUGUGUCUGUCUUCUGUCUUAUUCUCCUUCUCUGCCUGUCCAUCUCUGUCUUUCUCUCUGUCUCUUUCUUUCUCUAUGUCUCUCUGUCUCUGUGUCUCUCUCUCUCUGCCUGUCUCUCACUGUCUGUCUUCUGUCUUUCUUUCUCUGCCUGCCUGUCUCUCUCCCUUUCUCUCUCUCUGUCUCUCUCUCUUUGUUUCUGUCUGUCUCUGUCUUUCUCUGUCUGUCUCUUUGUCUGUCUGUCUGUCUGUAUCUCUCUUUCUUUCUCUGUCUCGCUGUCUCUGUCUCUCUCUCUGUCUCUCUCACUGUGUCUGUCUUCUGUCUUAUUCGCUUUGUCUGCCUGUCUCUCUCUCCCUGUCUGUUUUUUUCUCUCUCUCUCUUUGCCUGUCUGUUUCUCUGUCUCUGUCUCUCUGUCUCUGUCUCUCUCUCUGCCUGUCUCUCUCUCUCUUUGUCUGUCUUCUGUCUUACUGUCUUUCUCUGCCUGUCUGUCUGUCUCUCUCUGUCUCUGUCUUUCUCUCUCUCUUUCCGUCUGGUUCUCUCUCUCCCUCUGUCUGUCUCUUUCUAUCUCUGUCUUUCUCUCUCUCUUUCCGUCUGGUUCUCUCUCUCCCUCUGUCUGUCUCUUUCUCUCUCUGUCUCUUUCCCUCUGUCUGUCUCUCUCUUUCUUUCUCUCUGUCUCUCCAUCUGUCUCUGUCUCUCUCUGUGUGUGUGUGUCUGCCAUCUGUCUUACUCUCUUUCUCUGACUGUCUGUCUGCCUGUAUCUCUGUCUCUCUCUCUUUCUUUCUCUGCCUGUCUGUCUCUCCCUCAUCUGUUUCUCUCUCUGUCUCUGUCUGUCUCUCUCUCUGUCUGAUUCUCUCUCUCCCUCUGUCUGACUCUUUCUCUCUGUCUCUUUCCCUCUGUCUGUCUCUCUCUUUCUUUCUCUCUGUCUCUCCAUCUGUCUCUGUCUCUCUCUCUGUGUGUCUGCCAUCUGUCUUACUCUCUUUCUCUGCCUGUCUGUCUGCCUGUCUGUCUCUCUCUGUCUGUCUCUCUCUCCUUCUGUCUCUGUCUCUCUUUCUGUUUUUCUCUGUCUCUGUCCAUCUCUCUCUUUCUCUGUGUCUUUAUCUGUCUGUCUGUCUCUCUUUCUGUCUUUCUCUCUUUGUGUAUCUUUGUGUCUCUGUCUGUCUGUCUGUCUCUCUCUCUCUCUCUCACUCGCUCUCUGGCUCUCGCUAUCUCCCACCCUCUCUUUCUUUGCAAAAUGAGUUCAAGUACAUCUAAUCUAAUCCAUUACCAUGGCCUGAAUUCUUAACUUUAGACAUCCCAGAUUUGAUCUCCCUACCGAAUGCUGUACAGAACUGGUGAGUCGAUUUCUGGACUUGGAUACCUCAUAGAUACUACAUAUUAAUAAAGAUCCAACCCUAAAAUCUGGGGUUGCAUCUCCCUUGACCAUCUCAAAAAAUCAUACCUCUGUUCACCUAGGAUGCUGGGAGGGUUUUCUCAAUGUGCAUCUGCUCGUGUCCUUCAUGACCUGUGACCGAGCCCUGUCCGUUCUGUCUCAAAUAUGUAUCUGCAAACACUUCUCUCCAUUUCCACAACUACCCAUGGCCCAUUGUGGAACCACUGGCUCUUUGAAAAAAAAUCCCAGAAGUGGCUUUGGCUUUUUGGCUAGGAGGUCUAAACCUGCUGAGAACUUUCC